UUUAUUGUCUCAAUGCUCUUCGUGCAAAUCUCUCUCACUUUCAAUAGUUCCCUCAUUAGAGAAUUGCCUUGCUGCGUCAGAGAUCGCCUCCGGCGACGGCGGAGGUCCAAAUAACCUCAAACACACAUCAACCAACUCGUCUCAAUUAUCUCAUUCUUAAUCUCAUAUCAAACCUUCCUAACUCCUAACCAAAAUUCCAAAAUAAAGUGAAAAGAGUAUGAACCUUAAGAAACAAAUUCAUAAAUUAAACGAGAACAAAGGGGAAACCGAGCCAACCACCAGAGGACUUUGAUUCUCCUUAAUCGAAGCUACAUUAUGGCAAAUGAAUUGGAGCAAAUAGAGGAAUAAAACAUAGCACACCAACCUACAAGGCGGAGGAUACCUUGGUGUUUGUUGAAGCUUGGAGAUGAUAUAUAUGGAGUAAGAAAAAUCAGAGAAUAUGCAGCCAAUUUUUAUGCACAUGCCAAGCAAAUUGAAGAAAAUAAGCAAAUUGGAAGUGAAUCAUGAUGAAGAUGUUGAAUUGAAAAGAGAUAGGUCUAGGAGUAGAUUUUAGGUCAAAGGUCAAAGUUUGGUCAACUAUUGGUCCAACAUUGAUUUUUCAUGUAUUUCCAUUUCUGACUUUAUUUAUAGUGUAUUUUGGCACUUGAAUGUAAUCGGUCCUUGACUUGUCGUGUGUAUGUGUCAAAUCCCAAUAUUGUCCCUCAUUCAAUAAAUCAAUACAAACAUCAUGACAUUUGCAUCA